rnacentral:rRNA from 1 species
CAGCAGCCACGGUAAUACGUAGGUGGCAAGCGUUAUCCGGAAUUAUUGGGCGUAAAGCGCGCGUAGGCGGUUUUUUAAGUCUGAUGUGAAAGCCCACGGCUCAACCGUGGAGGGUCAUUGGAAACUGGGAAACUUGAGUGCAGAAGAGGAGAGUGGAAUUCCACGUGUAGCGGUGAAAUGCGUAGAGAUGUGGAGGAACACCAGUGGCGAAGGCGACUCUCUGGUCUGUAACUGACGCUGAGGAGCGAAAGCGUGGGGAGCGAACAGGAUUAGAUACCCCAGUAGUCCCUGUCUCUUAUAA